GCCCAUUGUGGGCCAAGGGAUCCUCCGCCUGGCGUCCCUGGGUGCUUCAGCUCUUGAGCCUCUGGCUCUGAGAUGACUGCAGAAAUGGUGGUGGAGAAGAAGAGCUCUUCAGGCAGAGUGAGAGAAUCUGUUGUGGAGGGCUCAUAGGCCCCAAGAGGCUUGCACAUUCUUUGUCUUGCCUGGACAGGUUUUUCUGCCCACACCAGGGGUGGCUGCUGACUACCUGAUGACAUCCAGAGGGCCACAGAAGACCUCUCUCAUGUCCGUGAAACCUCCUCAGACGGCGUGCCCCAAAGUGAAUUCAGCUAUCAGCUCCAGGUGAAAUCAGCCACGUGGCUUUCACCAUAUAUGCAUUUCGGGAAUGUAGAUAUUGAGAGUUCUGAUGAGUAUUUGAGCUCUCUUGAUUCGAGUCGCUAAAGGAAUUGCAUUAACUUUACAAGCAGCAGUUUAUGCUGCAGGACUCUGAUCAGAAACAUUGCUAAAACCUUUACCAAGUUGCUUAAUUUGGCUGUGCAUGGACAUUCUGUGAAAUAGUUUUACCAACAGCAUCAAAGAAUUUGUGUGGGUUAGUUGUAUACAAGUUUGGGGGGAAGUUCUCUCUGUAUAUGUUAAUAAAUUAUUCAGUAACCUUUA